ensembl:lncRNA
CCAGCUUCCUGAACCGGUUCAUUUAGCAUCUGAAUAAAAUGCUCCUGGUGUUGGCUAAUUUGCUGCAGCAACUGAGGGUUCUCCCGGCCUAUCUGCUGUAGCAAAGCAGGAAGCAAGGAGGGGUUCUGCUGGAUAAUUUGUCUCAUCUGUUGAAACUGAGGCUGAUUCCGUAAAAACUCAAGGGGGUGGCCUCCAGAAGUGGUGGUUGUCGUUGCUGUUGUGGUCGCUGCAGCUGCAGCUACUGCUGGAGACUGAGGAGUUCCAGUACUCACAGCCUGUGGAGGAGGAUCAACCACGGCCUGACUUUCUCUGUCUCCAGGGAUUCCCAUUAGAAGAUAUUCCACAGCUCUAUCAGGGUUGUUGAAGCUGGCUCUCAGGGCUGCAAUUACUUGUUCUCGUUCAUAGCCCAUUGACAUGAUCUCAGUUACCAUAUUCUCGUAAGACUGACCUGUCACAAGGGCACUUGUUGCAUCUUCAAAAAGAUUUGACCGAGAAGAAUCUCCUGGUGUACUGUCAGCUGGUGCUGGGCUAGUAAGCACUGGUGUCUGUGCUGGCUUUUCUGCAGGUUUCUCGGGCUGAGUUGCACCAGUAGUUGAGGCUGGAGUCGUGGAGGCAGGUGUGGAAGUGGGAGCCAGAGCAGGGGUGGGAGCUGGAGCCUGGGCCACAGCUGCUGCAGGGGAGGAGCUGACUGUAGUGGUGCUGGGAGAACUUGAUUGCUGGGUUGUAGCUGGCACUGCUGAUGUCACUGCUUUGGGCUUUGUCACCAUAACCACCACAAAGUUUUUCUCAUCAAUUUUAUAUUCUUUGAGAGCAGUAUCAUCACUGAGGAUUUUGCCUGCAUAAAUUAACUUCUGACCUGCUACCGGAAAGGCAUCUUUCCCCUUCUCAGAUUCAAUCUUCUCUUUCAAUGCCUUUACCGUCUCCUCCGGGUCGAUGUCGAUCUUGAAGGUCUGCUGCUGAAGGGUCUUCAGGGUGACCUGCAUGGUGCCUAAGCCGGGGCCUGGCCGCCCCGGGGUGGCCGCGAUCCUCGCGCUCUCGGGAGGAAGGCGGUGGGGGUGGGGGCUUGUCACAUUCGCCCGGAGUCGCGCUCACCCCGGGCCCCGCGUCCCCCGGCCGCGCCGCCGCUCCCGCGCCUUUCCCCGCAAGCUCGACCCGCGGUGCUUCCUCACGCGCCAGACACCGGGCCCGCAGGAGGCGCGAGGGACUCCCGGAGAGACGCAGAGAAUCCGCUACCUCACCACAGGAUGGUGGCCGCC